UACGUAGGGGGCGAGCGUUGUCCGGAUUUAUUGGGCGUAAAGAGCUCGUAGGCGGUUGGGUAAGUCGGGUGCGAAAACUCAGGGCUCAACUCUGAGACGCCACUCGAUACUGCCCUGACUCGAGUCCGGUAGGGGAGCGUGGAAUUCCCGGUGUAGCGGUGAAAUGCGCAGAUAUCGGGAGGAACACCAGUGGCGAAGGCGGCGCUCUGGGCCGGAACUGACGCUGAGGAGCGAAAGCGUGGGUAGCAAACAGG
rnacentral:rRNA from 1 species